rnacentral:lncRNA from 1 species
GCUGAUGCCGCUCUCCUGAUGAGGCCAUGGCAGGCCGAAACCAGUUGUCGUCCCUAAAGAGAACUGCUGCCUUACUCGAUGGACUAGACGCCCGAGCAAAGCUGGGCGUGGUAGGAUCUCGCACGAAGAAUCAUUCACCGUAUCGUUCGUGGAACAGCUAAAGGAAGGGCUGGCCUGGCGAAUUCCGCUUGCUAGGCGCCCGCGGGUCGUUUCCGAGGCCAAGGAAACUCUCGGCCCGUGACAAGUGGUAUCAGAGCAGGAAUCCCUCCAGUAAGCGAGUGAGCAAGUCGGAGAAUCGGACUCCUCGCUCAAGUGCGGGUCAAGCAGACAAGUCCUGGUGGAUGGGUGCUAGGGCGAGUCGGCUUCUCGUCGAGCGGAAUGCGAGUUAGAGAAGAACCGAACCCUUGCUGAAUGGGGAUAACGUUCUUGGAUCGAUCAGUGAAUUCGAAGAAGAGGUCUACUUUCACGUUUUCAACAAGAAAAGAACCUCCGUUGGUCUGCUGGGGUCAAGAUGCUGAUUAGGCUGGAAUGGUGCUGCCAAAAGAUGCGGUUGGCGAAAAAUGCCACACUUGCCAAAAAGCGCAGGUGACUGAAGGGCCGAGCGGCUGAGAUCAAAAAAGGCCACCAAUGGAGCAAAACCUGUUUUGUUGGGCAAGCGUGACCGUUCGAUGUGAAUUCCCAAAAGUGGCACAUCAAUGGUUAACUUACGCAAGGAAGUGACAGAGCAGAGAUCGCAACGAGGGCGUUGCGAAUUGAGUGGGGGAGAAUGUCACGGUCCGUGAAUCCUCCCGUACUCGUGACACUUGUGAGUGGCGCUUGGGGUUAUCUGGUGAAGAGUAUGAGGCAGAAGGGUAGAACACAACUGGUCCGUGGGAGUGGCGUCAGGACGGUUGAUGCUAGGAGUUCUAGGAUAGAAGGAUUAUAUCACUUAGGAGCUCUGAAGACGGGGUAGGCCUCCUGUGCACAAACUGGUCGGAAGCUGAUGCCGCUCUCCUGACGAGGCCAUGGCAGGCCGAAACCAGUUGUCGUCCCUAAAGAGAACUGCUGCCUCUCCCCCAUGGACUAGACACCCGAGCAACCCCCCGGCGUGGUAGGAUCUCGCACGAAGAAUCAUUUACCGUAUCGUUCGUGGAACAGCUAAAGGAAGGGCUGGCCUGGCGAAUUCCGCUCGCUAGGCGCCCGUGGGUCGUUUCCGAGGCCAAGGAAACUCUCGACCCGUGACACAAGCACCCAGCAUUUUCUCAAAAUGAAAAAACUUUUGCAAUGGGGCCCAAACGCAGCUAGAUAAAGCUGAGCUCAAAGCGCAUUUGGAUGUUCAUGCAAAAGAAUCCUUUCUUUCGGUUUCAAACAGCACUAGGUAAAGCUGCUUUGCCCUCUUUUCUUUUUCAACAAGCUUUGAUCUCGAAAGAUCAUGAAGCAAGACAAAUUAUUGUAUGAAAACUAUGUCACAAUAUGAUGUGGAAAUUAUUGUGUUGAACAGGCCUACAUGCGUUGUGUUCGUUGAAAUUAUUAAAUUUGGUAGGUCUCAUGUGUAAUUUACCG